AUUGAACGCUGACGGCAUGCCUUACACAUGCAAGUCGAACGGCAGCGGGGACUUCGGUCCGCCGGCGAGUGGCGAACGGGUGCGUAAUGUAUCGGAACGUACCUUUCAGUGGGGGAUAACGUAGGGAAACUUACGCUAAUACCGCAUACGACCCAAGGGUGAAAGUGGGGGACCGCAAGGCCUCACGCGAUCGGAGGAGCCGAUGCCGGAUUAGCUAGUUGGCGGGGUAAAGGCCCACCAAGGCGACGAUCCGUAGCUGGUCUGAGAGGAUGAUCAGCCACACUGGAACUGAGACACGGUCCAGACUCCUACGGGAGGCAGCAGUGGGGAAUAUUGGACAAUGGGCGCAAGCCUGAUCCAGCAAUGCCGCGUGGGUGAAGAAGGCCUUCGGGUUGUAAAGCCCUUUUGUACGGGAAGAAAAGCUUGUGGUGAAUACCCGCAGGUCAUGACGGUACCGUAAGAAUAAGCACCGGCUAACUUCGUGCCAGCAGCCGCAGUAACAC
rnacentral:rRNA from 1 species